UGGUAAGAAAGGGGAGUGAACGAAGGAAAGGGUAAUAAAAAAAAGAUUUAGAAGGGCUACAAAAGUUUUGAGGUCUCUGUUGUCAACUGAUUGACGAGGUGGGUCCUCCGUAUGAAGUAAUGCCCAACAGCUUAUGUACUGGACGUAAAACAAGAAAACACAUUUCCUUCCGUGAUUGCACACGGCUAAUGCAGGCCACCCGACAUCUGCAGCGAACGUCAACCAGGUUUAUUUAAAAUUUCGUCUAAAAAACGUCAAGGAGUAUAAAAAAUGAUUGCAGCAUACCUUGACAUAGGGCGUUCGUAUCGAUAUGUAUAGUAAUUCGACACAUAUUUCAUUGAGACAAGGGAAACUUGGCCGAGACGCAUCAGAACAUAAAAGGUAUGGGUUCUCUCUUCGGUUGGCCUCGGAAAGCAUAGGCUGGCGGUUUAAUCGGCCUUUAAAUAUAUAGCGACUCCCAUGUAAUUAAUCAUCUGUACUAAAUUAAACAACUAAAGUAACUAACUCUAUUUAAUUUAACUACUGCUAUAAUCAUUAGUUUUUUCGAAAAUUGCCAUUUCUACAUACGUCGCAUGCAAGAUAUUGUUAUGCAGUGAACUAGGAAAAUGUGUUACUUUUAUUUAAGCUGUUUUCUGAUUUCUUGUUUCAGAAAAACUACUCCUGCAAAUUCUGCAUGUGCAAAUUCUUUAAAACAGACUUACAUUUAAUCAAAAAUGCAGUCUACAUUUGCUUUUAUCUAACAUAAAUUCGGUCUUUUUUACUGAUAUUACACAGAAAAUCUUAAAAAAAUGUAUGCACUAUAGUUGGAUUAGAUCCCUAUUUUUUCCAAUAGAAUGACUGUUAUAACUUACUCGAAUUUACUGCAAGAAUCUAUUUUAUCAGGCAAUCGGGAUGACUUUGAAGAUGGCGACUUUUUGCAAGGAUUUUUUUGCGAGACAAAGCACUUGCACACUUUUAUUUUGAUUAUUAUGGGCAUAUUUUGAUUAAAUAAGAGACACUAGGAGAUUUGAAGGUUUGUAAAUCAGUAGAACAGUAAUAAAGAAAAAAGGAUAUGUAUAUUUUUUUUAUAAUUUAAACGUCAAUUAUAUGUAAAUAAAAUCUGAAGUCAUAAUUACUGAAAUUGUGUAUACAUUUUUAUGAACACCUUGUAUAUGCGAUACAUGGUGGACUCGUCUAUGCGGCCCCGCGCUCGGAAGGGCGUUAAACGCGUUUUUCCUUUAAAGUUUAACGGUAAAACCACACAGGAGUGAUAUGGAACAACAUGUUCACUGCAUUUCGAGUUUGACUUUACUAACUUUUUGCUUCUGAACCCACAUCCUACUUUCACAUUUUAGUAGUCAUAUAUUAUUUACCUACGUUGAUAGCUCCGAAAAAAAAUAACGCAUAGAUACCUUUCUAUAUAGUAUACUUAUAUGGAAAAAUCGUACUCAAUAAUUUACUUUAUUAUAAACAAUUUUUGAAAUAUGAAACCGCAAAAUUUGCAUGUGCCCAACUGGAUUAGAGCCGGAGACGAUCUGGAUCAAAGUCCCCGACAGUUCAUUCAACUCAAUCCCAGAGUAAGUUAGCAGAGUGUUUACAGAGCCACGAAAUCGUCGCCAGCCUAUCGUUUACAUUUGACAAAGCCAAAAACUGAUAUCCCACCCAAUUCUUU